rnacentral:rRNA from 1 species
AUGCUGCUGCCCAAGCGCGUGGACGCUCGCUGUCUCGGAGACUACAGGCCGAUAAGCCUCAUCCACCUCGUCGCCAAGAUCUUCGUGAAGGUCCUCUCGCUGCGUCUCCCGCCCAAGCUCAAUGCCCUCGUCAGCGCGAACCAGAACGCGUUCAUCCCCGGACGCUCGUUGCAUGACAACUUCGUCCUCGUCCGGCAGUCUGCGCGCCUCCUCCAUCAGCUCAAGGCCCCCCGCUUGCUGCUGAAGCUCGACUUGGCACGGGCUUCGACUCGAUCAGCUGGCCGUUCCUCUUCGAGGUAUUGA